CUCCUACUCCCUCCGUUCGGAAUUACUUGUCUUGAAAAUGGAUGUAUCUAGAACUAAAAUAUGUCUAGAUACAUCCAUUUCCGCGACAAAUAAUUCCGAACGGAGGGAGUACUGG
rnacentral:pre_miRNA from 1 species